AUGAUGGCCACCGAGCCCUUGUCCCCGGGGAAUCUCGUCGAGGACGUCGAAACACUACCCCUGGACUCCUCCUCCACUCUCGCGGCUACGACGGACCCGCUGCUCCGCCCACCUCCCCCCUCGUCCACCUUCUCUCCCACCGCCGGUGAGAACCAUGGCGCGUUUCUGGACGAGGAGGAUGAGGACGUGGUGGAUGACUUCACGCCUCCGCUGGCUCCCCAUGCCGCUACGGCCGCGACGAAGUCCCGCGAGGCGUCACCGUGGUUCGCUGAGAUCACUGUCUCCGAGCCUAGGAAGCACGCGGAGCCCGCGACCGGAGCCGUGGGCGUCAUUCCCGGCUCGGCCAGCUACGUCUCCUACCUCAUCGCCACUCAGGUGCCCGACGGAGGCGAGUUCCGCGUGCGUCGGCGAUUCCGUGACGUCGUGGCGCUCGCCGACCGCCUCGCGGAGACCCACCGCGGCCUCUUUGUACCGGCGCGGCCCGACAAGAGCAUCGUCGAGGGCCAGGUCAUGCAGCGGCACGACUUCGUGAACCAGCGGUGCGUCACCCUCCAGCGCUACCUCCGCCGCCUCGCCGCGCACCCCGUCGUCGGCCGCAACCCCAUUCUCCACGCCUUCCUCACCGAGCCCAGCGGCAUCCCCACUUCCGACGGUGAGUCUCCCAGGUGGAGCCCUGCGAUGAGUGCUGCUACGUCCAUGGCUGCUUCCGCUCCAGUGACGCCUACCAAGAGUGGGAGAGACUUUUUUGGGGUGUUCAAGGGCCUGAAGCAGACAGUGACGAAUGGGUGGGUGGCGGUAAGGCCGCCUCUAGUGGAGGAGGAGAUUGACACAAACAGUACCUUGUGCACAAGGCCAAGCUUGAGGACUUGGAGAAACAUCUGGUGACAGCAUCUCAGCAGGCAGAGGCAUUUGUUAAAGCUUUUGACGAUCUAAGAUCAACGACAGGUCUCUUGGGAAUGUCAUUCAUCAAACUGGCUAUGUUUGAAAAGGAGCAGGCUGCGUGUAGUUCUCAGAAAAGACGAGCUGCUGACAUCAGUAAUUUUGCCAGUGCUGUUAUUAGAGUUAGCAGAUCACAGACAAAACUAAACACUGAAAUUGUAAAACAUCUGGGUAUUAUCCAUGAGUACAUGGAGACAAUGGCUUCUGUUCAUAAUGCUUUUACUGAUCGUUCCAAUGCUUUGCUUCGUGUGCAAAAUUUGUCAGCAGAUCUAUAUUUCUUGCAUACCCGGGCAGGAAAACUUGAAUCUGUAUCAGCGAGAGGAAUGGAUCAGGAGAGAUCAAGGUAUCAAAAGAUAGAAGAAUUGAAAGAAACAGUAAGAGCCACGGAAGAUGCAAAAACACGUGCACUUAAAGAAUUGGAACUUAUCAAGGAAAAUAACAUGAAUGAAAUUAAAAGAUUUAACAAGGAAAGGCGCCAGGAUUUGGUGGAGAUGCUAAAAGGCUUUGUAUUGGAUCAGGCCACAUACUCGGAUCAUUUUGCUACCAUAUGGACAAAGGUAGCAGAAGAAACAAAAGGAUAUGCAAACAGCAGCAGUUGAAGUAGGAUGUACAUAUUCAGGUGAAUUUGAGCUGUUACUGUGCAGCGUGAAUAGCUACACUCAUUGAGAAUCAUGCGACUGGCUUAUACACAAACAGGACCACACUCUUCAUUCCCGAAGGAUACAUUUCUAUGGAUUUUUCUGGGGAUUGGUAUCUCAAGUUGUGUACCUGAAUUUUUUCAGAAAAUAUAGCAAUACCAUUUUCCACGGCUUCGUUUCCGCAGCCUUGGCUUCAUACAGGGUUUACAUUUUCGUUUUGUACUUUCAAAAAACUUUUUUGUUGACCAAA